CUGGCGUGGUAGGAAAACACGUCUGGUGUCACUCGUACGGGGACGACGCAAUGCGCAACCACCACAGACGACUACAAAUACGUAACUGACAGCCGUGGUUCCGCGUGGUGUGGAGACGCGAGAGGAGAGCAGGCGAGUCCAAAGACUAGAACACAACUGGAUCUAUUUCUGGACGUUUGAGGUUUCGUGCAAGCACUGAAUCAAUGCGCUGGGAAAAAUGCGCACGCACCUCCCGACAGGAAAAUGCAGCAGGAAAGUUAAAUAUGGAAAUGGCGCUCCAGAGGGUUGCGUUACGCCAACACAAUGUCCAACGUGAUAUAUUAGGAGGGAUAUUUAAAAUAACUUUUAUAAUAUAUUUAGUACUUUAAUUGUAUAGAAAUUUGUUGUUUACAUUACAAAGUGAUUGCAUAUUAUCACCAAAAAUGUUAAAAAAGGAUAUUAAUUA